rnacentral:rRNA from 1 species
GAUGAACGCUGGCGGCGUGCCUAAUACAUGCAAGUCGAGCGAACGGACGAGAAGCUUGCUUCUCUGAUGUUAGCGGCGGACGGGUGAGUAACACGUGGAUAACCUACCUAUAAGACUGGGAUAACUUCGGGAAACCGUAGCUAAUACCGGAUAAUAUUUUGAACCGCAUGGUUCAAAAGUGAAAGACGGUCUUGCUGUCACUUAUAGAUGGAUCCGCGCUGCAUUAGCUAGUUGGUAAGGUAACGGCUUACCAAGGCAACGAUGCAUAGCCGACCUGAGAGGGGGAUCGGCCACACGGGAACUGAGCCGCGGUCCAGGCUCCUACGGGAGGCAGCAGUAGGGAAUCUUCCGCAGUGGGCGAAAGCCUGACGGAGCAACGCCGAGUGAGUGAUGAAGGUCUUCGGAUCGUAAAACUCUGUUAUUAGGGAAGAACAUAUGUGUAAGUAACUGUGCACAUCUUGACGGUACCUAAUCAGAAAGCCACGGCUAACUACGUG